UACAGAGGUCUCAAGCGUUGUUCGGAUUCACUGGGCGUAAAGGGUGCGUAGGUGGUGAGGUAAGUCGGAUGUGAAAGCUCGGAGCUUAACUCUGAAACUGCAUUCGAUACUGCUGUGCUUGAGGACUGGAGAGGAGACUGGAAUUUACGGUGUAGCAGUGAAAUGCGUAGAGAUCGUAAGGAAGACCAGUGGCGAAGGCGGGUCUCUGGACAGUUCCUGACACUGAGGCACGAAGGCCAGGGGAGCAAACGGG
rnacentral:rRNA from 1 species